rnacentral:rRNA from 1 species
AUGCAACAAAUCAUUCACUUAGAACAAGAGCAAGGUGAGGAGCAGGCUCAGCAACUAACUGGCAGAGGGGGCAAUGCACAGAGAGACCAAGUCCAAGACAAUAGAAGACCUCUGACUCUGGUGAAACCUGCUAAAUAUAACAUACCAGAGUUUGAUGGCAGUGGAACUGACUCUUGGAUACAAACCAUUGAAAUGUACUUUGAAGCUGCUAGGACACCAUUGGAGCAGAAAACUGAAAUUGCUGUCACUUACCUCAAAGGGCCAGCAAUAGAAUGGUGGAGAGGAACUGGAAUUAUUGCCAAUACCUUACCCUGGUACAGGUUCUGUAGACUGAUUGGAGACAGGUUUUCUGAAACUUCAGUUUGUGACAAUGUCAGAACCUUUCAUGCCCUCAACCAAACUGGGCCUGUUAAUGACUAUGUUCUCAAGUUUGAACAGUCCAUGAACUUACUCAGGAGGGACAACCCUGCACUACGUGCUGAUUAUUACAAAGCUAGUUUCAUUGCUGGCCUGAGUGACUCUAUCCAACAUUAUGUUCAAUGUCAUGAACCAGCAGACCUACAAAAAGCCAUAUGGUUGGCCAGAAGAAUGGAACAAGCUUAG